GCCCUUGUUGUCUAAUGGUUAUGACGUCAGACUUCUACGGGACUUGUACUCAAAUCUGGAGGCUGCGGGUUCGAGUCCCGCCAGGGGUU